UACGUAGGUGGCAAGCGUUGUCCGGAAUUACUGGGCGUAAAGAGCGCGCAGGCGGUCGAUCAAGUCGAGUGUGAAAGCCCCCGGCUCAACUGGGGAGGGUCAUUCGAUACUGAUCGACUCGAAGGCAGGAGAGGGUAGUGGAAUUCCCGGUGUAGUAGUGAAAUGCGUAGAUAUCGGGAGGAACACCAGUGGCGAAGGCGACUACCUGGCCUGUUCUUGACGCUGAGGCGCGAAAGCUAGGGGAGCAAACGGG
rnacentral:rRNA from 1 species